CCUACGGGAGGCAGCAGUGAGGAAUAUUGGUCAAUGGACGGAAGUCUGAACCAGCCAUGCCGCGUGCAGGAAGACGGCUCUAUGAGUUGUAAACUGCUUUUGUACAAGGGUAAACCUGAAUACGUGUAUUCAGCUGAAAGUACUGUACGAAUAAGGAUCGGCUAACUCCGUGCCAGCAGCCGCGGUAAUACGGAGGAUCCAAGCGUUAUCCGGAUUUAUUGGGUUUAAAGGGUGCGUAGGCGGAUUGAUAAGUUAGAGGUGAAAUGUCCGAGCCUAACUCGGGAACUGCCUCUAAUACUGUUGGUCUAGAGAGUAGAUGCGGUAGGCGGAAUGUAUGGUGUAGCGGUGAAAUGCUUAGAGAUCAUACAGAACACCGAUUGCGAAGGCAGCUUACCAAUCUAUAUCUGACGUUGAGGCACGAAAGCGUGGGGAGCAAACAGGAUUAGAUACCCUUGUAGUC
rnacentral:rRNA from 1 species